rnacentral:rRNA from 1 species
GAUGAACGCUGGCGGCGUGCCUAAUACAUGCAAGUCGAACGGGGAGUAGCAAUACUCUUAGUGGCGAACGGGUGAGUAACGCGUUGGUACCUGCCCCGAAGCGGGGGAUAACGGACCGAAAGGUCCGCUAAUACCCCAUGUGCUCGGUAACGAGUAAAGGUGAAAACCACUUUGGGAGGGGCCUGCGUCCCAUCAGCUAGUUGGUAAGGUAACGGCUUACCAAGGCGAUGACGGGUAGGGGACCUGAGAGGGUGGCCCCCCACAAUGGAACUGAAACACGGUCCAUACACCUACGGGUGGCAGCAGUAGGGAAUAUUGGUAAUGGGCGCAAGCCUGAACCAGCAACGCCGCGUGUGCGAUGACGGCCUUCGGGUUGUAAAGCACUUUUGACUGGGACGAGGAAGGACGGUACCGGUCGAAUCAGCCUCGGCUAACUAUGUG